rnacentral:tRNA from 1 species
GGGGGUAUAGCUCAGUUGGUUAGAGCGCAUCGCUGAUAACGAUGAGGUCCUAGGUUCGAAUCCUAGUAUCCCCA